rnacentral:rRNA from 1 species
CGCAUCUGUGCAUGCAGCAUAUCAAUAAGCGGAGGAAAAGAAACUAACAAGGAUUCCCCUAGUAACGGCGAGUGAAGCGGGAAGAGCUCAAAUUUGAAAUCUUAAAGGGUUUCCCUUUACGAAUUGUAGUUUAAAGAAGUGUUUUCUGUUGAGGUUUUGGUAAAAGUUCUUUGGAAUAGGACAUCAUAGAGGGUGAGAAUCCCGUAUUUGACCUUUACUUUCAACUUUGUGAUACACUUUCAAAGAGUCGGAUUGUUUGGGAAUGCAGUCCGAAAUGGGUGGUAAAUUUCAUCUAAAGCUAAAUAUUGGCGAGAGACCGAUAGCGAACAAGUACCGUGAGGGAAAGAUGAAAAGAACUUUGAAAAGAGAGUUAAACAGUACGUGAAAUUGUCAAAAGGGAAGCGUUUGACACCAGUGUUGUUUUUCUGAGAAUCAAUUAAAGAACUGUUUAUGCUAAGUUGUUUAGACUUUAUCAGCUAUCUGCUUAGUUUUGAGCUUUUCUUUAAUGCACUUUUCAGUUAACAAGUCAACAUCAAUUUCUUUUGCUGUAAAAAAGCUUGAGGAAGGUGGCUUGAGAUUCGUCUUAAGUGUUUAUAGCCUCUUGCCUAUGCAGUCGGGAGAGAUUGAGGUCUGCAGCGUAGAUCCUUCGGGGCUAAAUGCAUUUGUGCUAAGUUAUAGCAUUCUAUAGACAACUUGUUGACUAUGAUUUGUCUUGUAGCUUACUCGCUUAUGUUAUUUUACCUACGCUUAGGAUGUUGAGCGCAUGUCUCUCUCU